rnacentral:rRNA from 1 species
UACGGAGGAUGCGAGCGUUAUCCGGAUUUAUUGGGUUUAAAGGGUGCGUAGGCGGUACGGCAAGCGUGAGGUGAAAUGCCGCUGCUCAACUGCGGAACUGCCUCGCGAACUGUCGUUCUGGAAUGCUCCUGCCGCGGGAGGAAUGUGUGGUGUAGCGGUGAAAUGCAUAGAUAUCACACAGAACACCGAUUGCGAAGGCAUCUCGCGAAGGGGUUAUUGACGCUGUGGCACGAAAGCGCGGGGAGCGAAC